rnacentral:rRNA from 1 species
ACGUAGGGGGCAAGCGUUGUCCGGAAUUAUUGGGCGUAAAGAGCUCGUAGGCGGUUUGGUAAGUCGGAUGUGAAAACUCAGGGCUCAACCCGGAGACGCCAUCCGAUACUGCCAUGACUAGAGUCCGGUAGAGGAGCGUGGAAUUCCCGGUGUAGCGGUGAAAUGCGCAGAUAUCGGGAGGAACACCAGCGGCGAAGGCGGCGCUCUGGGCCGGAACUGACGCUGAGGAGCGAAAGCGUGGGGAGCAAACAGG